ACAAAACAAAUCAAACAAACAAACAAAAACAUCCUAGGCAAGUCAAGAUUCAGUCUGGGAAGGAGGAAGCCUCGAUGGAGUAACCAUGAGGCUGGCACAACUGCUUCUGUUCUUGGCUUUCUCAUGCGUCCCGAGCAUCACACUUCUGCCAUACAGUGUAUUUAUACAUGUUCUGUGAUCAAGACAGAACUUAAAAGGACCUCUGAAAAUGUGAGAGAGCAGCAAUUUAAGAUGAGACUCAAACAAGGCUGGAGACAUCCUGGAGGUAAAGUCCUGGGGAACGACGGAGUUGUCCAGACUGCCUCCCCAGGUAUAAUCUUAAAAUUUGGAUAUGCUCCUGCAGACAGCAGAUCUACAGGCUCUCUGCUCAACUAAUACUUCUAGAAUGACCUACCAACACACCCACCACAUUGUCAUAAAGUGAUGAUGGUGGGUCUGCAGCUUCACUUUCUGGGAACAGUCACUGCUUUUUACAUAUGUGUGAAUCUACAUAGGAUGCAGCAUGCCCAGUUCAUCUGAUAUUUGACGACAGAAAGGACCAGUGCGUACUUGGAAGCUUGAGUGAAUGCUGAAAGAUACAGGAGUGACCCAGACUCUGUCAAUCACUUUUGCUUUUAGGGUUCAAAUUGCACUCUAUACAUGAUAUUUUUUAGUUUGACUGGGGAAAAAGAGUGCUUAAGAAUAUUCUGGCUACUGGACAAUUGUGAAAAUCAGAAGCUAGUAAAGGAGAUCAAGAGCUUUGAAAUAGCUAAUCUCAGGGAUAAACUUCCAGUUAAAGACAGGUACACACACCAAACUUGUGAUAGCAGCCCCAAACAUAAGUGAAUGAGUAAGAAGAUCCACACAGAGAUUGCUCUUUUCUGCCCAAUACUGCCUCUGGAAUGCACCUCUGAUAACCUAGUGCAGUCUUGGGCAGGCACCUGCAUACACAAGACUUAUCUAUUUGGUUGUGUGCUCAUGGGGAGGAUGUGAGAGUGUGAAAUACAAUAUUCAGCACCUCUGUCAAACACAAGUUGUUCCUUGAAAUGACAGUUUUUAUGGAACUGUGAUGAAUGCUGUUUGUAGUACAAAGUAUUUUCUAUGGAAACAUAACCCUGAAUUACAAUGAAAUAACUUGCAUUAAAAAACUGUAAGCCAUG